UUAACUCGUUAUGAUCUUCGCAUUUAAGAGGUGCAUGCAUCUUCUCCAUUCGGCUCAGAGACGGAAGAAACAUCCAUUCACUUGUUGCAGAUUAAUUGAGGAAAAAUAGAAAAACUGAUUUCAACUGAACGCAUCUGCCCAUCAGAUUACUGCCAGACAUUGGGAAUUAACAGCAUCCCCUACAGUGCUUAACAUUUAGAAAAUGCUGAGAACCUCUUCGGGUGACCGACCGGAGUAGUCAGCAUUGACAGCAAUUACGACCGUGAAACCAACUCCAGCAUCUGGUGUUGUUCAACACUCACCUGUUGGAUUUGCUGCCGGCGAUUCGCUUCUCCCCCUCCAGGCCAACAGCUGAAACAAUUGUACCACUUAACACAACAUAUAGCAUCCUUCAAACCUUGCACUGACAUAAGGCACUGCCUCUCUCGACAUGUUCUCUGGGAACAUUAAACAUGUAAG